rnacentral:rRNA from 1 species
AUUGAACGCUGGCGGCAUGCCUUACACAUGCAAGUCGAACGGCAGCACGGGAGCAAUCCUGGUGGCGAGUGGCGAACGGGUGAGUAAUGUAUCGGGAACGUACCUUUCAGUGGGGGAUAACGUAGCGAAAGUUACGCUAAUACCGCAUAUUCUGUGAGCAGGAAAGCAGGGGAUCGCAAGACCUUGCGCUGAUUGAGCGGCCGAUAUCAGAUUAGCUAGUUGGUGAGGUAAAGGCUCACCAAGGCGACGAUCUGUAGCGGGUCUGAGAGGAUGAUCCGCCACACUGGAACUGAGACACGGUCCAGACUCCUACGGGAGGCAGCAGUGGGGAAUUUUGGACAAUGGGGGCAACCCUGAUCCAGCCAUGCCGCGUGAGUGAAGAAGG